CCUACGGGAGGCUGCAGUGGGGAAUAUUGGACAAUGGGGGGAACCCUGAUCCAGCCAUGCCGCGUGUGUGAAGAAGGCCCUCGGGUUGUAAAGCACUUUCAGUGAGGAAGAACGCCUGGUGGUUAAUACCCAUCAGGAAAGACAUCACUCACAGAAGAAGCACCGGCUAACUCCGUGCCAGCAGCCGCGGUAAUACGGAGGGUGCGAGCGUUAAUCGGAAUUACUGGGCGUAAAGCGCGCGUAGGUGGCUUGAUAAGCCGGUUGUGAAAGCCCCGGGCUCAACCUGGGAACGGCAUCCGGAACUGGCAAGCUAGAGUGCAGGAGAGGAAGGUAGAAUUCCCGGUGUAGCGGUGAAAUGCGUAGAGAUCGGGAGGAAUACCAGUGGCGAAGGCGGCCUUCUGGACUGACACUGACACUGAGGUGCGAAAGCGUGGGUAGCAAACAGGAUUAGAUACCCGAGUAGUC
rnacentral:rRNA from 1 species